rnacentral:rRNA from 1 species
CCUACGGGUUGCACCAGUGGGGAAUGUUGGACAAUGGGCGGAAGCCUGAUCCAGCAAUGCCGCGUGUGUGAAGAAGGUCUUCGGAUUGUAAAGCACUUUCGACGGGGACGAUGAUGACGGUACCCGUAGAAGAAGCCCCGGCUAACUUCGUGCCAGCAGCCGCGGUAAUACGAAGGCGGCUAGCGUUGCUCGGAAUGACUGGGCGUAAAGGGCGCGUAGGCGGUUUAUGCAGUCAGAUGUGAAAUCCCCGGGCUUAACCUGGGAACUGCAUUUGAGAUGCAUAGACUAGAGGUCGAGAGAGGCGUGUGGAAUUCCCAGUGUAGAGGUGAAAUUCGUAGAUAUUGGGAAGAACACCGGUGGCGAAGGCGGCAACCUGGCUCGAUACUGACGCUGAGGCGCGAAAGCGUGGCGAGCAAACAGGAUUAGAUACCCCUGUAGUC